GGCUUUUGGGGUUCGCUUGGUGCGUGUUUUCAUUUAAAGUGAUCCUUUUUCUUUUCCCUUCCUCCCAAAUCUGGAUUCAUAGGUUAGCCGUAUUGAAUUUUUGGACGGUCAUAUUUAUUGCUUUUCUAAAUGUUUCAGUAGUUUCUGGAAGGCCUAAUGGUCAAAAAAUACCAAACCUGUUCAAGUUUUUCAAUUGUCCCACCUUCUUAAUUUUAGUAAAUUUGUUCCAGUUUUAAAUGUUAGUUGUAAAUUUGUCCUAUUGUCAAAAUUGAAAUUAGGAGUGCUAACGUGGCAAUUGGCUAGGAUGAAAAAUAUUAUUUUUUAGAUUAUGGGGUUGACAUAAUUGCAAUUAAAAUAUUAUAUUUUGAAAAUUUUGAGACCCAUAUGUAUGAAUGCCACAAUAAAAAAUAAUAUUUUUGUUCUAGUCAACUGCUACAUAAGCACCUUGAAUUUUGACCAUUGGAUGAAAUAAUAACUAACUUUUAAAAUGGGACAAAUUUGCUAAAAUUAAAAGGAUAGGACAUAAUUG
rnacentral:misc_RNA from 1 species